rnacentral:rRNA from 1 species
GACGAACGCUGGCGGCGUGCUUAACACAUGCAAGUCGAACGGCAAGGCCCUGCUUUUGUGGGGUUCUCGAGUGGCGAACGGGUGAGUAACACGUGAGUAACCUGCCCUUGACUUUGGGAUAACUUCAGGAAACUGGAGCUACUCCCGUAUAGGAGCUCCUGCUGCGUGGUAGGGGUUGGAAAUUUUCGGCGGUUGGGGAUGGACUCGCGGCUUAUCAGCUUGUUGGUGGGGUAGUGGCUUACCCAGGCUUUGACGGGUCUCCGGCAUGGGAGGGUGACCGGCCACAUGGGGACUGAGAUACGGCCCAGACUGCUACGGGAGACAGCAGGGGGGAAUAUUGCACAAUGGGCGGAAGCCUGAUGAAGAAACGCCGCGGUCGGGAUGACGGUCUGCGGGGUGUAAACCGCUUUCGCCUGUGACGAAGCGUGAGUGACGGUAAUGGGUAAAGAAGCACCGGCUAACUACGUG